rnacentral:snRNA from 1 species
GAUGUGAGGGGAAUCUGGCUGCGACAGCUGUCACCCCACUGAUCGCCAGGGUUGAUUCAGCUGAUCUCACUGGCUAGGUGGGUGUCCCCUUCCUCCCUCACCGCUC